rnacentral:rRNA from 1 species
GACGAACGCUGGCGGCGUGCUUAACACAUGCAAGUCGAACGGAAAGGCCCUGCUUUUGUGGGGUGCUCGAGUGGCGAACGGGUGAGUAACACGUGAGUAACCUGCCCUUGACUUUGGGAUAACUUCAGGAAACUGGGGCUAAUACCGGAUAGGAGCUCCUGCUGCAUGGUGGGGGUUGGAAAGUUUCGGCGGUUGGGGAUGGACUCGCGGCUUAUCAGCUUGUUGGUGGGGUAGUGGCUUACCAAGGCUUUGACGGGUAGCCGGCCUGAGAGGGUGACCGGCCACAUUGGGACUGAGAUACGGCCCAGACUCCUACGGGAGGCAGCAGUGGGGAAUAUUGCACAAUGGGCGGAAGCCUGAUGCAGCAACGCCGCGUGCGGGAUGACAGCCUUCGGGUUGUAAACCGCUUUCGCCUGUGACGAAGCGUGAGUGACGGUAAUGGGUAAAGAAGCACCGGCUAACUACGUGCCAGCAGCCGCGGUGAUACGUAGGGUGCGAGCGUUGUCCGGAUUUAUUGGGCGUAAAGGGCUCGUAGGUGGUUGAUCGCGUCGGAAGUGUAAUCUUGGGGCUUAACCCUGAGCGUGCUUUCGAUACGGGUUGACUUGAGGAAGGUAGGGGAGAAUGGAAUUCCUGGUGGAGCGGUGGAAUGCGCAGAUAUCAGGAGGAACACCAGUGGCGAAGGCGGUUCUCUGGGCCUUUCCUGACGCUGAGGAGCGAAAGCGUGGGGAGCGAACAGGCUUAGAUACCCUGGUAGUCCACGCUGUAAACGGUGGGUACUAGGUGUGGGGUCCAUUCCACGGGUUCCGUGCCGUAGCUAACGCUUUAAGUACCCCGCCUGGGGAGUACGGCCGCAAGGCUAAAACUCAAAGGAAUUGACGGGGCCCCGCACAAGCGGCGGAGCAUGCGGAUUAAUUCGAUGCAACGCGUAGAACCUUACCUGGGUUUGACAUGGAUCGGGAGCGCUCAGAGAUGGGUGUGCCUCUUUUGGGGUCGGUUCACAGGUGGUGCAUGGCUGUCGUCAGCUCGUGUCGUGAGAUGUUGGGUUAAGUCCCGCAACGAGCGCAACCCUUGUUCACUGUUGCCAGCACGUUAUGGUGGGGACUCAGUGGAGACCGCCGGGGUCAACUCGGAGGAAGGUGGGGAUGACGUCAAGUCAUCAUGCCCCUUAUGUCCAGGGCUUCACGCAUGCUACAAUGGCUGGUACAGAGAGUGGCGAGCCUGUGAGGGUGAGCGAAUCUCGGAAAGCCGGUCUCAGUUCGGAUUGGGGUCUGCAACUCGACCUCAUGAAGUCGGAGUCGCUAGUAAUCGCAGAUCAGCAACGCUGCGGUGAAUACGUUCCCGGGGCU